rnacentral:rRNA from 1 species
AUUGAACGCUGCGGCAGGCUUAACACAUGCAAGUCGAGCGAGCGGCGGACGGGUGAGUAAUGCUUAGGAAUCUGCCCAUUAGUGGGGGACCACAUCUCGAAAGGGAUGCUAAUACCGCAUACUUAUAGAUGAGUCUAAGUCGGAUUAGCUAGUUGGUGGGGUAAAGGCCUACAAAGGCGACGAUCUGUAGCGGGGCUGAGAGGAGGGUCCGCCAAACUGGUAAUUGGAAAACGGCCAAGCUCCUAAGGGGGGGAGGAAGGGGGGAUAUUUGACAAAGGGGGGAAACCUGAUCCGGCCAAUCCGGGGGUGGUAAGAAGGCCUUAUGGUUGUAAAGCACUUUAAGCGAGGAGACGGUACUCGCAGAAAAAGCAACGGCUAACUCUGUGCCAGCAGCCGCGGUAAUUC